rnacentral:tRNA from 1 species
GGUUUAGAGUAUUAGGUUGUGAUCCUAAAAGUCACGGGUUCAAAUCCCGUUAUUUG